rnacentral:lncRNA from 1 species
UACUUUGCGUCUGCUACUGACUAAAUAUUGAAGUGACAGGAGACAAUAACAAGACUUUUUAUUCUACAGCGAGUAAGCAGCAAGUGUUCUUUAAUUGAAUUUUCGAAAGAAAAAAGGAGAGAAGGAAAAAAAAAAACAAAACAAUAACAUUUCGUGUAAUGAUAGAAAAUUCUAAGAGCAGCAACGAAGUGCGCGGGAAGAAGGAAGAGUGUGUAGUAGCAGUAGAGUAGAGAAGUUUCGUUGCAGCUGUAAUGUGAAAAACUAUUGAACUGAUCCAGCAUAAACUUUGCCAGGAUUCCCAAACUGUUUAACUCGAAUCUCGAGUAAGACUGAACGAAAUUGAAGAACAACAACUGGAAAGACAGAAAGUUAAAGGUACAAAAAAAAAAAAAAAAAAGGCGAAACAUUAAUAAUUCAGAAAAUAAAUAAAUUUAAUAAAAAUAAUGAUGGAAAGCAGAGGAAGAAAGCAAAAUCGAUUAUUCUUCGAGACUUCUUUACUGCUUUAAAAAUAAUAAUAUCAGUUUCUCACUUAACUUUCCAAUACCUCAGAAGUUGGAUUAAAGGCGAACUCAAUCUUAUUAUAUAUUAUUAUAUUCACCGAGACGUGAAGGCAAGGAUGUUUAGAAUGAAGGUAGG